GUUUUAGGUCCAUGCAAAUGGUGAAAAGGGAAUUUGGUGAAAGACCAAAGCUGUCCCAGCAACCGUAAGUCUGACGAAAUGCAUAUGCCACUGCUUAACAUGUUGAGCGGGAAGGCGCAAAGUAGGACGAUGACGAGCCGGUAGACCUGCCUAGAUCGA
rnacentral:ncRNA from 1 species